rnacentral:rRNA from 1 species
AGUGAACGCUGGCGGUAGGCCUAACACAUGCAAGUCGAACGGCAGCACAGUAAGGGCUUGCUCUUACGGGUGGCGAGUGGCGGACGGGUGAGGAAUACAUCGGAAUCUACUUUUUCGUGGGGGAUAACGUAGGGAAACUUACGCUAAUACCGCAUACGACCUACGGGUGAAAGCAGGGGAUCUUCGGACCUUGCGCGAUUGAAUGAGCCGAUGUCGGAUUAGCUAGUUGGCGGGGUAAAGGCCCACCAAGGCGACGAUCCGUAGCUGGUCUGAGAGGAUGAUCAGCCACACUGGAACUGAGACACGGUCCAGACUCCUACGGGAGGCAGCAGUGGGGAAUAUUGGACAAUGGGCGCAAGCCUGAUCCAGCCAUACCGCGUGGGUGAAGAAGGCCUUCGGGUUGGAAAGCCCUUUUGUUGGGAAAGAAAAGCAGCAGGUUAAUACCCCGCUGUUCUGACGGUACCCAAAGAAUAAGCACCGGCUAACUUCG